rnacentral:misc_RNA from 1 species
GACGCGCCCCGGCUUGAGUGGAGCUCUUUUUAAGAUUAUAGCGGCGCCUUUGGCGCCGCUAUAAUCUUAAAAAAGCGGGAACGGAAGACGGAAAUUGGC